GGAGAGGUGGCUGAGUGGUUGAAAGCGGCUCCCUGCUAAGGAGUUAUGAGGGUUAAACUUCAUCGAGGGUUCGAAUCCCUCCCUCUCCG
rnacentral:tRNA from 1 species